rnacentral:rRNA from 1 species
AAAUGAGCCGAGCAGGGUCUCCUCGUCCUCCCCCUACUCUUUCCCUCGCCGCCGCCGCCUCCGUCGCCUCCUCCUCGGGUGCGCACAGUCGUCCACCAUGCCGAAGCAGAUCCACGAGAUCAAGGACUUCCUGCUGACGGCGCGCCGGAAGGACGCGCGGUCGGUGCGGAUCAAGAGGACCAAGGACGCCGUCAAGUUCAAGGUGCGCUGCUCCAGGUACCUCUACACGCUCUGCGUCUUCGACGCCGACAAGGCCAACAAGCUCAAGCAGUCCCUCCCACCAGGUUUGAGCGUCCAGGAGGUUUAAGCAUCAAGCCAGACAAUGCCUUUUCUAGUAGUGGGAAUGUUCUAUCCAUCUUGCUUUAGUAACUGUUAGCAGGCUCUCCUUGUUUACCCCCAUUAAUAGAGUUUUGAUGUUCCAAGACUGGAAUGUAAUGUUGGGAGCUAUGUGGUUGAACCUGUGAGGAUAUUUGUGUUAUUUUCACUUGCUGGAGAAGGAGAUCAAUUAUCUUAUCCUAAAUUGGUUUAGUAUCUCACUAUUUUCCUGAAUGUUCUGCAUUUUCUUCAGCCAUGGCCCAUGGUUAGCAACUCUUAAGCUUCAUAACUCAAAUCAAUAACAUUUAGAAAGGGUCUUGGGUAAAUCCAAC